rnacentral:lncRNA from 1 species
AAAUUAAGCACAGAAAUCAUACUAAAAUCCCCCAAAUAAAGGCGUAUAAAUACGCCCAAUCAAAUCCCCCCACACUUAAACAAAGCUCGCCCUCGAGCACCAAAAAGAACAAAACGACAGGGAAUGAACAAAAGAAGACUCAAAACAGCAAAAACAAAGCUUUGGCAACAAUAUGAUAGAUAAUACUCAAAAUCUUGAUCAAGAUACAAUCAUCCACAAACCACUAACCAUGCUCUUGCUCAGAAAAUUAUGCCAUGAUCUUCAUUCAAGUCAAAAUUGUGCAAAUUCAAUCCUGCCUCACCAAGUUCACUCAAUUUCUCUCAAAAGACAAAUAUGGACAGAAUAGAUUCACACAAUUCACAACUUUAUGCCUUCAAACACAGCUUGCCCUUAUGUCACUAUCUC